rnacentral:rRNA from 1 species
GACGAACGCUGGCGGCGUGCCUAAUACAUGCAAGUCGAACGCAGUGGGGACGGGUGAGUAACACGUGGGUAACCUCCCAUCAGAGGGGAUAACACUUGGAAACAGGUGCUAAACCGAUACUGAUGGAUGGACCCGCGGUGGAUUAGCUAGUUGGGGGGGUAACGGCGCACAAAGGCCACGAUGCAUAGCUGACCUGGUAGGGUGAUCGGCCACACGUGGACUGAGACACGGCCCAGACUCCGACGGUAGGCAGCAGUAGGGAAUCUUCGGCAAUGGACGAAAGUCUGACCGAGCAACGCCGCGUGAGUGAAGAAGGUUUUCGGAUCGUAAAACUCUGUUAUUAGAGAAGCGGUAUCUAACCAGAAAGCAACGGCUAACUACGUGCCAGCCGCCGCGGUAAUUC